GGUGGGCCAUUUUCCUUUUCCCUUUUUCUUUAUUCCUUCUCUCCUUCCCUUCUUCCUCCUCAGCCCGAGCACCCAACCAAGCCCAGCUCCCAGCCCGUUCCCUUUUGUUCUUCUUCUCCUCUUCUUCUUCCUAAAAAAUGCCCCCAAUUUCUAACCAAAAUUAGUGAGUUUUGUUCUUAUUUAACCCACAAAACCGCAUCCCCUUGUUAUUUAGCACCCAA
rnacentral:lncRNA from 1 species